rnacentral:sRNA from 1 species
CAGACGCAAGCUGCUCAGCGUCACCAGAA